rnacentral:rRNA from 1 species
GACGAACGCUGGCGGCGUGCUUAACACAUGCAAGUCGAACGGAAAGGCCCUGCUUUUGUUGGGUGCUCGAGUGGCGAACGGGUGAGUAACACGUGAGUAACCUGUCCUUGACUUUGGGAUAACUUCAGGAAACUGGGGCUAAUACCGGAUAUGAGCUCCUGCUGCAUGGUGGGGGUUGGAAAGUUUCGGCGGUUGGGGAUGGACUCGCGGCUUAUCAGCUUGUUUGUGGGGUAGUGGCUUACCAAGGCUUUGACGGGUAGCCGGCCUGAGAGGGUGACCGGCGACAUUGGGACUGAGAUACGGACCAGACUCCUACGGGAGGCAGCAGUGGGGAAUAUUGCAGAAUGAGCGGAAGCCAGAUGCAGCAACGCCGCGUGCGGGAUGAUGGCCUUCGGGUUGUAAACCGCUUUCGACUGUGACGAAGCGUGAGUGACGGUAAUGGGUAAAGAAGCACCGGCUAACUACGUG